GAUGGACAUACCUCUGGUGUACCAGUUGUCGUGCCAACGGCAUAGCUGGGUAGCUAUGUGUGGACGGGAUAAGUGCUGAAAGCAUCUAAGCAUGAAGCCCCCCUCAAGAUGAGAUUUCCCAACUUCGGUUAUAAGAUCCCUCAAAGAUGAUGAGGUUAAUAGGUUCGAGGUGGAAGCAUGGUGACAUGUGGAGCUGACGAAUACUAAUCGAUCGAAGACUUAAUCAA
rnacentral:rRNA from 1 species